rnacentral:rRNA from 1 species
GACGAACGCUGGCGGCGUGCUUAAUACAUGCAAGUCGAACGGAAAGGCGCUGCUUUUGUGGGGUGCUCGAGUGGCGAACAGGUGAGUAACACGCGAGUAAACUGCCCUUGACUUUCGGAGAACUCCAGGAAACAGGGGCUAAUACAGGAUAGGAGAUCUUGCUGCGUGGGGGGGGUUGGAUAGUUACGGCGGUGCGGUAUGGACUCGCGGCUUAUGAGCUUGUUGGUGGGGUAGUGGCUUACAAAGGCUUUGACGGGUAGCCGGCCUGAGAGGGUGACCGGCCACAUUGGGACUGAGAUACGGCCCAGACUCCUACGGGAGGCAGCAGUGGGGAGUAUUGCACAAUGGGCGGAAGCCUGAUGCAGCAACACCGCGUGCGGGAUGACGGCCUUCGGGUUGUAAACCGCUUUCGCCUGUAACGAAGCGUGAGUGACGGUAAUGGGUAAAGAAGCACCGGCUAACUACGUG